rnacentral:rRNA from 1 species
GCCCUAGUAACGGCGAGUGAAGCGGCAACAGCUCAAAUUUGAAAUCUGGCCCUCGGGUCCGAGUUGUAAUUUGUAGAGGAUGCUUUUGGUGCGGUACCUUCCGAGUUCCCUGGAACGGGACGCCAUAGAGGGUGAGAGCCCCGUCUGGUUGGAUACCAAUCCUCUGUAAAGCUCCUUCGACGAGUCGAGUAGUUUGGGAAUGCUGCUCUAAAUGGGAGGUAUAUGUCUUCUAAAGCUAAAUACCGGCCAGAGACCGAUAGCGCACAAGUAGAGUGAUCGAAAGAUGAAAAGCACUUUGAAAAGAGGGUUAAACAGUACGUGAAAUUGUUGAAAGGGAAGCGCUUGUGACCAGACUUGGGCAUGGUUAAUCAUCCAGCGUUCUCGCUGGUGCACUUGGCCUGCCCAGGCCAGCAUCAGUUCGGUGCGGGGGAUAAAGGCUUCGGGAAUGUGGCUCCUCCGGGAGUGUUAUAGCCCGUUGUGCAAUACCCUGCGCUGGACUGAGGUUCGCGCAUCUGCAUGGAUGCUGGCGUAAUGGUCAUCAG